GGCUCAGUGGCAGAGUGGCUAUGCAGCGGAUUGCAAAUCCGUGAACGUCGGUUCGAUUCCGGCCUGAGCCUCCA
rnacentral:tRNA from 1 species